rnacentral:rRNA from 1 species
GAUGAACGCUGGCGGCGUGCUUAACACAUGCAAGUCGAACGGAAAGGCUCCUGCUUGCAGGGGUACUCGAGUGGCGAACGGGUGAGUAACACGUAGGUGAUCUGCCCUGCACUUCGGGAUAAGCCUGGGAAACUGGGUCUAAUACCGGAUAGGACGAUGGUUUGGAUGCCAUUGUGGAAAGUUUUUCGGUGUGGGAUGAGCUCGCGGCCUAUCAGCUUGUUGGUGGGGUAAUGGCCUACCAAGGCGUCGACGGGUAGCCGGCCUGAGAGGGUGUACGGCCACAUUGGGACUGAGAUACGGCCCAGACUCCUACGGGAGGCAGCAGUGGGGAAUAUUGCACAAUGGGCGCAAGCCUGAUGCAGCGACGCCGCGUGGGGGAUGACGGCCUUCGGGUUGUAAACUCCUUUCGCUAGGGACGAAGCGCAAGUGACGGUACCUGGAGAAGAAGCACCGGCUAACUACGUG